rnacentral:rRNA from 1 species
UACGAAGGGGGCUAGCGUUGUUCGGAAUUACUGGGCGUAAAGUGCACGUAGGCGGAUAUUUAAGUCAGGGGUGAAAUCCCGGGGCUCAACCCCGGAACGGCCUUUGAUACUGGAUGUCUUGAGUCCGGAAGAGGUGAGUGGAAUUGCGAGUGUAGAGGUGAAAUUCGUAGAUAUUCGCAAGAACACCAGUGGCGAAAGGCGGCUCACUGGCCCGAUACUGACGCUGAGGUGCGAAAGCGUGGGGAGC